rnacentral:rRNA from 1 species
UACGUAGGGUGCGAGCGUUGUCCGGAAUUACUGGGCGUAAAGAGCUCGUAGGUGGUUUGUCGCGUUGUCCGUGAAAACUCACAGCUCAACUGUGGGCGUGCGGGCGAUACGGGCAGACUGGAGUACUGCAGGGGAGACUGGAAUUCCUGGUGUAGCGGUGAAAUGCGCAGAUAUCAGGAGGAACACCAAUGGCGAAGGCAGCACUCUGGGACGUGACUGACGCUGAGACGCGAAAGCGUGGGGAGCAAACAGG